rnacentral:rRNA from 1 species
GACGAACGCUGGCGGCGUGCUUAACACAUGCAAGUCGAACGGAAAGGCCCUGCUUUUGUGGGGUGCUCGAGUGGCGAACGGGUGAGUAACACGUGAGUAACCUGCCCUUGACUUUGGUAUAACUUCAGGAAACUGGGGCUAAUACCGGAUAGGAGCUCCUGCUGCAUGUUGGGGUUUGGAAAGUUUCGGCGGUUGGGGAUGGACUCGCGGCUUAUCAGCUUGUUGGUGGGGUAGUGGCUUACCAAGGCUUUGACGGGUAGCCGGCCUGAGAGGGUGACCGGCCACAUUGGGACUGAGAUACGGCCCAGACUCCUACGGGGGGCAGAAGUGGGGAAUAUUGCACAAUGGGCGGAAGCCUGAUGCAGUCACGCCGCGUGCGGGAUGACGGCCUUCGGGUUGUAAACCGCUUUCGCCUGUGACGAAGCGUGAGUGACGGUAAUGGGUAAAGAAGCACCGGCUAACUACGUG